ensembl:lncRNA
AGAAAAGAUCUAUGUCUGCACGCUGAAACCUACAGAAAAAAAGAGCGGGACACCCAUGUGCUUGCCGAGACCAGCUAUUGACGGAGAUUCCGGAUGAAGAGUCGAGGCCUUGACAGAACUUCUGGGGGGAACCACUCAGGACCGGGGGGACGCGAGGGCCUUACGCUGUGUUUGUUUUUUUUACAAUUUGUUGUAUUAUAUGGAUGUGGUAUUUGUCUAUAUGGACAUUUCCGCUGAUAGCCGCCAGUCUUUUACACAGCUUUCCACUCCAAAGUAAAGUGCCAUUCUGACUGCUGUAGAGUUGUAUAUUAGCCAAAGCAAAAUGUAUUACCAAAAAAAGAUCCAUCCGAAACCCCGCCCUGAGGUUCACUCAGCGGGGUUUGCAUUCCGGGCCGCAAAUUUAGCGGCCCAUGAAAGGAGACUGGAAUGGGUCUUUUCAGUUAUUUUAGAUCCCCUAUAUUUCAACUAGACAAUGUUCUCCUUUCAUCACAAAAGAAAUGCAUUUUUUUUAAAGG